UGAAAGGUCCUAAUAUGGCUAGAGGGGGGUGAAUAGCCUAUUUAAAAAUUAUACAAAACUCCCUAGAGCAAGUGGUUAGUAAAUAACAAAGCGUAGCUUUUUGCUCUAGCUCUAAUGGGGUGUUUGCAAGCCACCUAUCUAACAAUUCUAGUUGAUAUGAUCACUAGGCACACAAGAGCUAUGUCAAUACUUACACUAGAGAGCUAAUUAAAGUUUCUAUACAAGAAAGUAAGCUACUCUAGUUUGCGGGAAUGUAAGAGAGAUGGUUUGAUCUUUAUACCGCCACGUAGAGGGGAUGAACCAAUCAAUAAUAUGAAGUCCAAUCACCGGGAGAAAUCCAAUGAACAAACACAAUGGAGACAAACAAUUUUUCUCCCGAGGUUCACGUGCUUGGCGGCACGCUAUGUCCCCGUUGUGUCGACCAACACUUGGUGGUUCGGUGGCUAAGAGGUGUAGCACGAACCUCGUCCUCACUAGGACACCACAAGAACCUACCCACAAGUGAGGUAGCUCAAUGACACGAGCA
rnacentral:lncRNA from 1 species